GUUGUAGUCUGGAGAAGUGCUUUCCGCGCUGGACCGUGUAUAAGUCUCUUGGAACAGAGCGUCAUAGAGGGUGAGAAUCCCGUCUUUGACACGGACUACCAGUGCUUUGUGAUGCGCUCUCAAAGAGUCGAGUUGUUUGGGAAUGCAGCUCAAAAUGGGUGGUAAAUUCCAUCUAAAGCUAAAUAUUGGCGAGAGACCGAUAGCGAACAAGUACCGUGAGGGAAAGAUGAAAAGCACUUUGGAAAGAGAGUUAAACAGUACGUGAAAUUGCUGAAAGGGAAACGCUUGAAGUCAGUCGCGUCUGCCGGAACUCAGCCUUGCUUUUGCUUGGUGCACUUUCCGGUUGACGGGCCAGCAUCGAUUUUGACCGUCGGAAAAGGGCUAGGGAAAUGUGGCACCUUCGGGUGUGUUAUAGUCUCUAGUCGCAUACGGCGGUUGGGAUCGAGGACCGCAGCGCGCCGCAAGGCAGGGGUUCGCCCACUUUCGCGCUUAGGAUGCUGGCAUAAUGGCUUUAAACGACCCGUCUUGAAACACGGACCAAGGAGUCUAACAAACCUGCGAGUGUUUGGGUGGUAAACCCGAGCGCGUAAUGAAAGUGAAAGUUGAGACCUCUGUCGUGGAGGGCAUCGACGCCCGGACCUGACGUUCUCUGAAGGAUCCGCGGUAGAGCAUGUUGGUUGGGACCCGAAAGAUGGUGAAGUAUGCCUGAAUAGGGUGAAGCCAGAGGAAACUCUGGUG
rnacentral:rRNA from 1 species